rnacentral:rRNA from 1 species
UGCUUAGCCCUUAACAUAGACAGUACCACACACAAUAUUGUUCGCCAGAGAACUACAAGUGAAAAACUAGAAACUCCAAGGACUUGGCGGUGCUCCAUACCGACCUAGAGGAGCCUGUCCUAUAAUCGAUAACCCACGCUAUACCUCACCACUUCUUGCAACUCAGCCUAUAUACCGCCGUCGUCAGCCCACCUUAUGAAAGAAGCAAAGUGGACAAAAUAGUUAAUAACGAAAACGCCAGGUCAAGGUGUAGCACAUGAAGUGGAAGAGAUGGGCUACAUUUUCUAAUACAGAAUACACGAAUAACACAGUGAAACCUGCAUUUAAAGGUGGAUUUAGCAGUAAGGCAAACAAGAAACUCUGCCUUAACCCCGCUCUGGAGCGCGCACACACCGCCCGUCAC